UAUACAAGUGUGUUUGUGGCUUCUCUACCUCACCGGUUGAGUUCUACUUGGUGUUUUUUCUUCUGCAAGAGAGUGUCACCAAGUCUGUCUUUCAUGGCUACUAACUAUCCCUUCUAAGGAAGAACCUAAUCAGGUUCUGUUUGAAGAAAAUUCAUGUGUAAGGAAGGUGAUAUUAAACAGGCCUGUGAGACUGAAUUCUCUUACAUUUCACAUGAUUUUUCAAAUGUUGAAGAAGUUAAAAGAAUACGAAAAGGAUUCUAGAGUGAAAUUAGUGAUAUUGAAGGGAAAUGGAAAAGGAUUUUGUGCUGGUGGUGAUUGUGAAGGUCUUAUUCACUGAAGCACUGCUGGUCAUUGGAGUUUUGGUGCAAGUUUUUUUCGAAAACAGCUUACACUAGACUAUAUUCUUGCUACACAUAAUAAAACUUU